CCUACGGGAGGCAGCAGUGGGGAAUCUUGCUCAAUGGGCGAAAGCCUGAAGCAGCGACGCCGCGUGGAGGAUGAAGGCCUUCGGGUUGUAAACUUCUGUUAUGAAAAUUGUUGUACCACUAGAGAAAGCACUGGCUAAUCUCGUGCCAGCAGCCGCGGUAAUACGAGAGGUGCAAGCGUUAUUCGGAAUCAUUGGGCGUAAAGGGUGCGUAGACGGCAUUGUAAGUCUGUUGUUAAAAUUCUUGGCCUAACUGAGAGUCUGCAACGGAAACUGUUUUGCUAGAGGGUGAGAGAGAGAAGUGGAAUUCUCGGAGUAGCGGUCAAAUGCGUAGAUCUCGAGAGGAACACCGAUGGCGAAGGCAGCUUCUUGGCUCAUUCUGACGUUGAGGCACGAAAGCGUGGGGAGCAAACAGGAUUAGAUACCCUUGUAGUC
rnacentral:rRNA from 1 species